rnacentral:lncRNA from 1 species
UUUGCAUUCUUGGAGCCCAGAAACUGUCUUCUACAAACUUUUCUUCGUAGUACUAUGUAAACGUACACAGGAAAUGUUCAGAAAACAUCAGCCAAAUAGAAUUUGGGAAUUCCUUCACUGACUAGAUAUUGAUGUUUGAUUCUGUCCUGCUUUGUACUCAAUGGAUAUUUCGGGGUUUCCAUUUUGGAAAACUAUUUGGAAAAUUGCAAGCCAUGAGAAAAGCCUCUAAGCUACUCCAGGAGCACUGAGGACUCUUCAUGGGUUCUUACUGUUAAAGAGUUUAACCCCUCAAGUCACUCCAUUUUUACUAUAUGCCUUGAACUACAAGAUGUGUUAAGAUUUAUAGGAUAAGGUCCUCAUGUCUAAAAACUCAUGGUCUCGGUGGAGAAGCAGUAUUUACACACAUGGAGCAAGUUGAGAGUGCUUGAAUGUGGAGUAUAAAGUGUGUGAUACUGACAAGAAUUUCUAUUGAAGAUCAGGAAGAGGAGGAGCAAAUGAGGAUGGAGACGGACUUUGCAGAAUGGAAGAGAGGCAAAGACAUGAUUAGAAACAAUCUACAUAAUGAGGAGUCACUUUUGGGAGUUAUUUUAAGGCAGAGUAUCACAUCGCAUCAAAACAGCUCCGUCUCCUGCCACUCCACAUGCAAUGCCAUGAACUUAAAUAAAUUGCUGGUAAGAGGACGCAAAUGCUGUGACCAGGCAAGUUAGAAGAAUCUUGGUCAUCCAGAAAGCUUGCUGUAGCUGCCCAGCAUUUGCCUCCUCCACAAAGAAGGACCAAAAUAACAAGUAGACAAUCACAUGCCAAAUAAAAUGUCUAAGGGAGAGCACUGAAACUCAGCAAAAACGUUACGAAGACCCUCUGAGGUGCAGAAACUCAGGAAAGCAAAGCAGCCAGCCAGGAUCAGCUCAGAGCCAAGAGGGCCCCCACUUGAGGAGGAAAGGUAAGCAGGAGAUGCCCCGCAGGCAACAUUCCCACCACAAAUGCCUGCAAGCCUAGCUGUAGGAGAGCAGUGUUGAGUCCAGUAUAGGAGCUGCCUGGAGUCUCUGCG